GACAGAGGAUGCAAGCGUUAUCCGGAAUGAUUGGGCGUAAAGCGUCUGUAGGUGGCUUUUUAAGUCUGCCGUCAAAUCCCAGGGCUUAACCCUGGACAGGCGGUGGAAACUACCAAGCUGGAGUACGGUAGGGCAGGGGGAAUUUCCGGUGGAGCGGUGAAAUGCGUAGAGAUCGGAAAGAACACCAACGGCGAAAGCACUCUGCUGGGCCGACACUGACACUGAGAGACGAAAGCUAGGGGAGCGAAUGGG
rnacentral:rRNA from 1 species